UUCGCUUCUUCAACUACAUUCACCACAAAUUUUUACGUAAAAUGCCAAAAAAAGUUUCAAGAAGAGGACGGUAAGCAUUCAGUCAUUAUUGAAACCACGUCCAUAAAUAUCGAAGGACUAACUGCGCCAUUGCUGACAACCCGUCAUAUUGCGUAGCAAGUGUAAUUUCGGAACCUGGCAAAAUUAUUGUUAAUAAUUUACUGUAUGUGAUGAAAUACUGAUAAUAAGUUUUUCGCAUUUCCUUCGUUUUAUUGCCUUAUAACUCUUCAGGUCGACAACAUAUGUAGUCGAAUCGUAAUAACAAAUAUUUUAAAUAAUUAAAUUAAUCUUAAUGCUACAUUUAAUGCAAUUCUGAUGAAAAUAUCAUUUGCUAAACUUUAUGUUAAGUGAAAACUUGGUAAUUUUGGUGCGUAUGCCGCCCAAA